CUGAGCCUCCAUGUUCAGAGACUCCUGGAGGACGCUGUUGGCACUGCUACAGGAGCAUCGGGGAUGGGAGAUCGAGUCUUUUGUAUUCAUGACUGAAUACCCACUGACUGGCGUAGGGCAGAACGCAUAGUAGACCCUCAGUAAACAGUUAUUGGCAAACCUUCUGACUAGGAACUGGUGACUCAGACUCCUCAGAGGGAUUGAAUCAGGACCUUGCGCUCCUGAGGGAGGCAGUGGAACCACUGAGCUAAAUCCCGGGCCCUGCUGCUUAGAUUUUCUUAGAGUGUCCUGGACAGAGGGGAAGCCUUCUCCCUCAGCCAGCCACUGCUUGGACAACUUCACGGAAAGCUGAUGCAGGAGAGGUGUUGCUUAGCCAGGGCUUCCCCUGGGCUUGCAUGUGUGGGUGCACACUGAGAACGGCUGGGGCCUGCUGAGGCCGGACCAGGCCGAGCCCGCUGCGUCCUGGCACCCCGGCUGCUGUUACGUCCUGCUCACAGCUCAGCGUGACCUGGGCAAGCACUGGUACUUAAGCCUCUCGUCCUCAAAGUUCAUGAGAAGAUCCUUGGAACUGGGGCUCGUUGCCAUUUGAGAACCAUUUUUGAGGGAAGGGAAACAACAAAAUGGCAUUAAAGUUUUUCCCCAAUGGAAAAAAAAUGACAUCUGUUCAAAACAAAAUAACCGGCAAUGGUACAUUUCCUUUUUAGUGUGAAAAUAUUAUUAGCAUAAUUGGUUUCUGCAGGGCUGCCAUUUGGGACGACUGGGCAGGGGAAAUUGUGUGCCGGCCCCCAGCUUCUGAUUGUUAUUUCGUGGCAAUAUAAAGCAUGACAAUUUUCACUGAAGCACGUCUAGAUAAACGCUUCCCUUUUUACCUAGGGCUCUCUGAAGUGGUGGCCCUGUUGCUACCCAGAUUCCUGGACACUGCUCACCAGGGAUCACAUUUUUGAGCCUGAGUCUUUCUAGGGUUAUUGUCCAGGGACCAAUAGCUCAGUUGGGAGUAGGUGUCCACUAAAAGCAACUGUUUGCUAGAAAGAACAUAACAUUUAUUUUCCAAAUUGCCAACCAUUUGGAGGAGCAAGAAGUUCUGGCCUGAUGGUCACAUAUACCCUGCUUUUCCCUCACAGUGGGGCACAAAAGGGUCAGGGCAUCAAGGUCUCCCUGUAGCAUCCAUCUUUCCACCUUCCAUUUUAGAAUUUUCCAGGAAGCCUCUCUUCUGUUUUGAGAACUCUGACUACUAAAGGAUGCCAAUAAUCCUAGGAAGGUUAAGGCAAGCUCUCCUUAGCUGUUCAGACUUGACAACAUAAAGAUGUUCAAGUAUGGAGAGGGAAAUUCAGAGGAAGUGUUUUGUUGUAGCCAGUGGUGCAUCAGCACUUUGGCAAGGUGGAAUGACUGACCAGCCAUUUCAGUGGAAGAAUAAGCAAUCGACAGAGCUCUGGGGAGCCACAUAGAACACAUGGCCACUGAAUUACCCACGUUUCCCAUUUUCUACCAUCCAGCACCCUCUGGAAUGUUACGUUUUAUUUUUUAUUUUUAUUUUUUGGUACUGGGGAUCGAACUCGAGUCCUUGCACUUUCGAGACAGGUGGCAUAACCACUGAGCUAAAUCCCCAGCCCCAAGGAAUGUUACAUUUUAAAAAAAUAAUAAAAGAAAAAGAAAAGAAAA